UACGUAGGGUGCGAGCGUUGUCCGGAAUUAUUGGGCGUAAAGGGCUCGUAGGCGGUCUGUCGCGUCGGGAGUGAAAACUCAGGGCUUAACCCUGAGCCUGCUUCCGAUACUGGCAGACUAGAGGUAUGCAGGGGAGAACGGAAUUCCUGGUGUAGCGGUGGAAUGCGCAGAUAUCAGGAGGAACACCGGUGGCGAAGGCGGUUCUCUGGGCAUUACCUGACGCUGAGGAGCGAAAGUGUGGGGAGCGAACAGG
rnacentral:rRNA from 1 species